ensembl:snRNA U6 U6 spliceosomal RNA
GUACUCGCUAUGGCAGCACAUAUACUAAAAUUGGAACAAUACAGAAGAGAUUAGCAUGGCCCCUGCGCAAAGAUGACACGCAAAUUUGUGAAGCGUUCUAUAUUUUU